rnacentral:rRNA from 1 species
GCCAGCAGCCGCGGUAAUUCCUAGGGUGCGANNGUUGUCCGGAAUUAUUGGCCGUAAAGANCUUGUAGNCGGUCUGUCGNGUNUGCUGNGAAAACCCGAGGCUCAACCUNGGGCCUGCAGUGGGUAUGGGCAGANUAGAGUGCGGUAGGGGAGAAUGGAAUUCCUGGUGUAGCGGUGGAAUGCGCAGAUAUCAGGAGGAACACCGAUGGCGAAGGCAGUUCUNUGGGCCGUAACUGACGNUGAGGAGCGAAAGCGUGGGGAGCGAACAGGAUUAGAUACCCUGGUAGUCCACGCCGUAAACGUUGGACGCNAGAUCAAGGACCAUUACAU